UUGUACAGGAAAUUGAACCAUGUACCCCAUGCAAGUGCCUGCAAUUAAACACUUGGCUGGACUGACAUUUUCUUAUUUGGGAGCAGUGCGUACAAAGCUGUGACUUUUGGAGACACAUUUGCAAGGAAGUGGCAAGUGAAGCUGGCAGCUAACCUGGGUUAAAAAUGAGGUUCUAAAGUGCAGUUCGAACUUGUGUUCUUAAAAGACCUAUCUGCCACAUGAAAGGAUGGUCCUUCCAACCAUCGGCUCUGGCUUUGCUGAACUCGUCAAACCAUGUCUUAUCAUAGUGCCUAGAUACAAAGAUAACUGCAAAUAUCAUGUCAGAAGUCACAUUUUAUGGGCUCUUGACUGUGCUUGGUGGAGCCCUGAUACCUGGAGCCCCGCCUGUGGGACCACUUCCCUCCCCAGCGCACAGCCUUAGUAGUGGGAGGACCAGCUAAGACCUAAGUCAAGACCUUAUCCUUGAGGCUCCCAGGGUGACCUGAUGAUGACCUGGGCUCGGUAGUGACUGGCCCAGCUCCUUGAGUGAAGAGGACAGCACGGGCUUUAU
rnacentral:lncRNA from 1 species